CCUACGGGUGGCAGCAGUGAGGACUAUUGGUCAAUGGACGAGAGUCUGAACCAGCCAAGUAGCGUGAAGGAUGACUGCCCUAUGGGUUGUAAACUUCUUUUAUAUGGGAAUAAAAUGUUCCCCGUGUGGGAUUUUGUAUGUACCAUAUGAAUAAGGAUCGGCUAACUCCGUGCCAGCAGCCGCGGUACUACGGAGGAUCCGAGCGUUAUCCGGAUUUAUUGGGUUUAAAGGGAGCGUAGGUGGAUUGUUAAGUCAGUUGUGAAAGUUUGCGGCUCAACCGUAAAAUUGCAGUUGAAACUGGCAGUCUUGAGUACGGUAGAGGUGGGCGGAAUUCGUGGUGUAGCGGUGAAAUGCUUAGAGAUCACGAAGAACUCCGAUUGCGAAGGCAGUUCACUGGACUGCAACUGACACGGAGGCUCGAAAGUGUGGGUAUCAAACAGGAUUAGAUACCCUUGUAGUC
rnacentral:rRNA from 1 species